UACGAAGGGGGCUAGCGUUGCUCGGAAUCACUGGGCGUAAAGCGCACGUAGGCGGGUUCUUAAGUCGGUGGUGAAAUCCUGGAGCUCAACUCCAGAACUGCCUCCGAUACUGAGAGCCUCGAGUCCGGGAGAGGUGAGUGGAACUGCGAGUGUAGAGGUGAAAUUCGUAGAUAUUCGCAAGAACACCAGUGGCGAAGGCGGCUCACUGGCCCGGUACUGACGCUGAGGUGCGAAAGCGUGGGGAACAAACAGG
rnacentral:rRNA from 1 species